rnacentral:rRNA from 1 species
GACGAACGCUGGCGGCGUGCUUAACACAUGCAAGUCGAACGGAGAAUUUAUUUCGGUAAAUUCUUAGUGGCGAACGGGUGAGUAACGCGUGGGCAACCUGCCCUUCAGAUGGGGACAACAUCCCGAAAGGGGUGCUAAUACCGAAUACGAUCUUUUUUCCGCAUGGAGAUGAGAUGAAAGAUGGCCUCUAUUUAUAAGCUAUCGCUGAAGGAUGGGCCUGCGUCUGAUUAGCUAGUUGGUGGGGUAACGGCCUACCAAGGCGAUGAUCAGAAGCCGGUCUGAGAGGAUGAACGGCCACAUUGGGACUGAGACACGGCCCAAACUCCGACGGGAGGCAGCAGUGGGGAAUAUUCCGCAAUGGACGAAAGUCUGACGGAGCAACGCCGCGUGAGUGAUGAAGGUUUUCGGACUGUAAAACUCUGUUGUUUAGGACGAAAGUGCCUGUUGCAAAUAGUUGCAGGUAUUGACGGUACUGAACGAGGAAGCCACGGCUAACUACGUGCCAGCAGCCGCAGUAAGAC